UAGGGAAUAUUGGACAAUGGGCGAAAGCCUGAUCCAGCAACGCCGCGUGUGCGAUGACGGCCUUCGGGUUGUAAAGCACUUUUAGAGGAGAUGAGAAAGGACAGUAUCCUCUGAAUAAGCCUCGGCGAACUACGUGCCAGCAGCCGCGGUAAAACGUAGGAGGCUAGCGUUAUCCGGAUUUAUUGGGCGUAAAGCGCGUGCAGGCGGUUUAUCAAGUUGGAUGUGAAAGCUCCUGGCUUAACUGGGAGAGGUCGUUCAAAACUGAUAGACUAGAGAAUGGUAGAGGGAGGUGGAAUUCCGGGUGUAGUGGUGAAAUGCGUAGAUAUCCGGAGGAACACCAGUGGCGAAAGCGGCCUCCUGGGCCAUUUCUGACGCUAAGACGCGAAAGCUAGGGUAGCAAACGGG
rnacentral:rRNA from 2 species